GGCAGUCCCGUGCCAAAUGUCCAUGCUGACCACAAGUGAAGCAAACUCCCAUCUUCUUAAGACAAGGCCCCCCAUGAGGCUUGCCGCAGUAGGUACAGGCCUCAAAUCUCUUCUUCUUAUUUGCAUUACCCUCAGUGUCUCCUAGCCUGAUAUUAUGACUUUCAAUCAUUCUGGAUCUCUUUGGAUCAUCUUUUUCCUUCUCUGACCUCUUCAGAUCUGUUUCUACCUUCAGUGCUCUCUCCAGGGCCUCUCCGUAGCUGGUAAAAAUCAAAACUGACAACCGGGAUCGAAUUUCGUCCCUCAGGCCCUGCUCAAAUCUAUUAGCCUUACUUCUCUCAACCUC
rnacentral:lncRNA from 1 species